UGAGUAUUUCUAAUACUACUCUAUUUUCUACUCUAAAAUAGAAUUUAGAGUAAAAAAACUCUACUAGUACUCUUAUUUUCAUUAGAGCAAAAAUAGAUUUACUUCAAAUAUAGAGUAACUUAUUUAUUUUUUGUUCGUCACUCUAUUUUUUAUUCUAAAAUAGAGUACCAUUGAACUAGAAUUCAACUCUAUUAUAGAGUUACUCUAUUUUGAAGUGAAAAAUAGAGUAAACCAUUGAAAAUGGUCUUAGAAAAUAGAAAUGUAUGGGCUUGCAACCCCAAGUAGACUAUUGUAUUAUCAUUGUCAAUCAAAUUUAAUUCAUCUAAUGUUAACUUUUAAAAUAUGAUAGUUCGGGUUACACAUCUUAUAAUAAAACUGGAAUCAGAUAAAUUUCUCACAAUGAAUCACAGAACUUAAUGGGAUAUAACUAAACAACAAUGAGAGCUUAUGUGG
rnacentral:lncRNA from 1 species